rnacentral:rRNA from 1 species
CCUACGGGGGGCAGCAGUGGGGAAUAUUGCACAAUGGGGGGAACCCUGAUGCAGCGACGCCGCGUGAGUGAAGAAGUAUUUCGGUACGUAAAGCUCUAUCAGCAGGGAAGAAAAAAGGACGGUACCUGAGUAAGAAGCCCCGGCUAACUACGUGCCAGCAGCCGCGGUAAUACGUAGGGGGCAAGCGUUAUCCGGAAUUACUGGGUGUAAAGGGAGCGUAGACGGCAAUGCAAGUCCGGAGUGGAAUGCGGCAGCUCAACUGCCGAACUGCUCUGGAAACUGUAUGGCUUGAGUGCAGGAGGGGUAAGCGGAAUUCCUGGUGUAGCGGUGAAAUGCGUAGAUAUCAGGAGGAACACCGGUGGCGAAGGCGGCUUACUGGACUGUAACUGACGUUGAGGCUCGAAAGCGUGGGGAGCAAACAGGAUUAGAUACCCGGGU